rnacentral:tRNA from 1 species
ACCUGGCUGGCUCAGUAGAUCAUGUGACUCUUAAUCUCAAGGUUGUGAGUUCAAGUCCCAUGUUGGGUG